AUUCAUAGUGACAAUAGUGGUAGGUACAGUGGGGGGGAAAGGAUUUGAUCCCCUGCUGAUUUUGUACGUUUGCCCACUUACAAAGAAAUGAUCAGUUAGUGUUCCCACAUGUCCAUAUCUACAUGUUGCAGCACUUGUUUACGGAAGACAGAGGCUACCACCUUUGCUAAUUAGCUAUCUAGCAUGCUCCAAACACCGUUGUGUAAGUGUAACUUGGGAAGUGUAGUGGAAGUGUAGUUGUCUGAUGGAGGAACCCAUAGCUGUAUGGAUCUGUGCAAAACUGCUACAGUAAGUGUAUCUUUUUUAUUUGAAGGAUCCUUUCUUGCUUAUAAAAGAUAAGGGCCAUGUGUUUCAAAAACCGUAUUGCAAGCGAUGAUUAUUGACGUUUCUAAACAUUAAAACAAUGUCAGGAUUGUAGUUCACGUGAGGUAGUCGUGGGCGAAGCUAAUGGCUGAAAACUAGGGAGAAGGCAGAAGAGGUGGGUAGUAACACGUUACACGUAGUUAAGUACAUUUUUUGAGGAACCAGUACUUUUCUAGUUACUCUCUGUGGGCUGUACUUGUAAUCUUAAUCAAGUAAUUUCUGAAGGAAAUAACUUACUUUUACUCCAUUACAUUUUACCAAAUCACUUCAGUUACACAGCAUUAUAUUAUUAUAUUGUCAGUGUCAGAUGAAAAGUUUGUCACUCCAAAUAAUUUAUUUAAAUUAAAUUAUUUUACAUGAAUCGAUACUAUUGGUUACCAAUUAGCUGUCAAGCUCCCACCUAUUCCUCUCUUUGGAGUGGUGGAUCCAUGCCGUUAUUUAAUACUUUUUGGAGAAUUCAAUGAGGGGUGUUGACGUCAACCGCAUAUAUUCAAUGGUAAGAGAUGUUACGUAACUAGCCUCAUGUCAUGAAUAUGCAUAGCCAUCUCGAGACAACUCCUAAAUAAAGUGAUAUUUUUUUCUCAACGUUGCUGGGAAGUCACAUCUUCUACUUAUAUCAGUACACUCUUAACAGCCUAAGCAUUACGAAACUUAUAUUCAAUCAAAUAAACAUAAUGUAGCAAAUUCGACACUCUCAAUGACCUCCAUACAAAAACUCAUCGAUGUCACAUGAUGAAGAAUUGACCCAGCUAUCCUUUCCCCCUUCUUCUAUGGUGAAGUGCACGUCUUCACUCCUGAGGAUAUUUUUAUUUGUGGGUUCUUAGCCAGACGCGAUCAGAGCUUGUAGCAGCACAACCGAGAGGGAGGAGAAUGGGCCUGCCAAGAAAACAAAAUAGCCUUCCAAGUGGAAAGUAGAGAUUCGGAAGAGAAGGAUGUAGGGUUUAUCCUACUUUGGCAGGGAAAAGAUGGUUUGAGUUGACUUUGGCAAUUCAUAUCUGCACUGUUUGAUUAUUUAUUACAUACAUGAUUCUUACCAGAAUACUUGUAUUCCAUGCUGAAAUGUCUGAUUUGCAUACUAGUAACAUGAUUAAUAGUGAAAUUUCGAUAUUCAUUGUUUGACUGUUGUACCACUUACCUGAUCCUACUUGAUAUUUCAUUCUGAGUAAAAAAUUAAACAUCACACUUUGUGUAAAUAUUUUUAGGACGCAUUCACGAUCACAUUUACUUGAAAUUAUAUUGUGAAAAUAAAUGUUCAUUAAUGCUAUUGAAAUUGUGAAAUUAUUAUAAUCUCUUGAGUACGUCUACAUUUUUAUGAAAUUGAGCACUAUGAUAGAUAAUAAGAAUGAGUCCAAAUAAAAGUUUGCGUAACGUAGCGCGUACAGUAGGAAACUUCUCGAAAGCGUACGCCAUUUGUACUUAUUUUGAAGCAUGCGUCGAUGCAAGCUGCAACGGAAAGUAUGCAAAUAUGACACAACAUUUAUUGAAAACAAUGGCAGCUAAAUUAUUACGAUUCACAUAUCUAGCUGAUAAUUGUUAAGUCAAACGUUUGCUUUGUGUAUAUGUAUGUAACAGUAUAGCUUCCGUCCCUCUCCUCGCCCCAAACCAGGAACUCUCUGCGCACAUCAACAACUGACACCCCACGAAGCAUCAUUACCCAUCGCGCCACAAAAGCCACUACCCUUGCAGCGAACAACUGCUUAGGUAGCAGAGCGAGUGAUGUCCCCGAUUGAAACGCUAUUAGCUCGCACAUUCUCCUCACUCUCGUCCUCACAAGAACGUUCUCAAGCGAAUGUAGUGGAGAAUACAAUCGGAGCAUGAGUGUGGAGCAUCGUAGUAUGUUUGGAGAAACACCCCUAGAGUUUGAGAGUUACAAG
rnacentral:lncRNA from 1 species